rnacentral:rRNA from 1 species
CACGUAGGGGGCGAGCGUUGUCCGGAUUUAUUGGGCGUAAAGAGCUCGUAGGCGGCUCGUUGCGUCGGCUGUGAAAACCCGCAGCUUAACUGUGGGCCUGCAGCCGAUACGGGGGGGCUGGAGUUCGGUAGGGGAGACUGGAAUUCCUGGUGUAGCGGUGAAAUGCGCAGAUAUCAGGAGGAACACCGGUGGCGAAGGCGGGUCUCUGGGCCGAUACUGACGCUGAGGAGCGAAAGCGUGGGGAGCGAACAGG